CUUUUUCCCCCCGCAGGCAGGAAUGUUGUUAAAGGGAAGGCAGAUCGAACUCCUGGAACAUGCAGCCAGAAUGGACUAAGACAGAGGAGGAGCUGAUGCUGCCGCUGCAGUCUGAAGGCCGUCUGCUGGCAGAAUUCCUUCUUGCUCAAAAGAGGUGUCGUGUGCCUGUGUACCCAGAAGCUAUGGG